rfam:Dipodomys ordii contig_62002, whole genome shotgun sequence.
GGUGGCUCAGUGGUAGAGUACUUGCCUUGCAUGCAUGAAGCCCUGGGUUCAAUUCCUCAGCACCA